GACGAACCGUGCGAACGUUGUUCGGAAUCACUGGGCUUAAAGGGCGCGUAGGCGGGCCGCCAAGUCUGGAGUGAAAGCCCACGGCUCAACCGUGGAAGCGCUUCGGGUACUGGUGGCCUCGAGGGGUGUAGGGCGUGCGGAACUUCCGGUGGAGCGGUGAAAUGCGUAGAUAUCGGAAGGAACACCGGUGGCGAAAGCGGCGCGCUGGACAGCCUACUGGACGCUGAGGCGCGAAAGCCAGGGGAGCAAAGCGGG
rnacentral:rRNA from 1 species